UUUGAUCAUGGCUCAGAUUGAACGCUGGCGGCAGGCCUAACACAUGCAAGUCGAGCGGUAGCACAAGAGAGCUUGCUCUCUGGGUGACGAGCGGCGGACGGGUGAGUAAUGUCUGGGAAACUGCCUGAUGGCGGGGGAUAACUAGUGGAAACGGUAGCUAAUACCGCAUAACGUCGCAAGACCAAAGUGGGGGACCUUCGGGCCUCACGCCAUCAGAUGUGCCCAGGUGGGAUUAGCUGGUAGGUGGGGUAACGGCUCACCUAGGCGACGAUCCCUAGCUGGUCUGAGAGGAUGACCAGCCACACUGGAACUGAGACACGGUCCAGACUCCUACGGGAGGCAGCAGUGGGGAAUAUUGCACAAUGGGCGCAAGCCUGAUGCA
rnacentral:rRNA from 1 species